ensembl:lncRNA
GCAUAACCGUGACAUUCCCAGAGGCAUCACCUAACUGUACCACAGUCCAAAUUAAAAAGUUGUCAGGGAACUGGGCAGGAAUGUAUAAGUGUGGAUUUUCCAAAGGAUCCAUUGUGCACGCAGCCUCUGCAGAGUUGAAGGUAGCCCUGCUACCAGAUCAGAUCACCAUGACGAGUACCCCACUGACUGUAGAAUGCCAUGAUAUAAACCCUCAAAGUGUGAUGGUCAGCGCAACCAUCGAGAACAGCACGGAGAUGUACAAUGUUACUUGGUCAUACCAAGCUCAAAUGGAACCCCCAAAUCCAUCCUCAGUCUCGCCAGCGGGGACCAGCUACAGCAUAACUCCAAAGAUAAAUUGCGA